rnacentral:lncRNA from 1 species
CGUGUAUCGCUCCCUUGAAAAGUCAGGUUUUUCUCGUAGGUGGAAGAAAUCGCUCUAUGGCCUACGUCCUCACAGAUGCUGCACAUCCAACCUCUGCCAUUCAAACCGCAUUGUCCAGCGUUUCACUGUUCCAAUGAGACGACAGGGUCAGAUCCCACGUGAGUGACAGUGUGGGUAUUUGUCUUUUUCUUUAAAGAUUAACUCUUGGGGCUGGAGAGAUGGCUCAGUGGUUAAGAGCACUGACUGCUCUUCCAGAGGUC